AUUGAACGCUGGCGGCAGGCCUAACACAUGCAAGUCGAACGAGUGGCGGACGGGUGAGUAAUGUCUGGGAAACUGCCUGAUGGAGGGGGAUAAAUACUGGAAACGGUAGCUAAUACCACAUACCAUCGGAUGUCCCCAGAUGGGAUGAGCUAGUAGGUGGGGUAAAGGCUCACCUAGGCGACGAUCCCUAGCUGGUCGGAGAGGAAGACCAGCCACACUGGAACUGAGACACGGUCCAGACUCCGACGGGAGGCAGCAGUGGGGAAUAUUGCACAAUGGGCGCAAGCCUGAUGCAGCCAUGCCGCGUGUAUGAAGAAGGCCUUCGGGUUGUAAAGUACUUUCAGCGGGGAGGCGUUACCCACAGAAGAAGCACCGGCUAACUCCGUGCCAGCAGCCGCGGUAAUUC
rnacentral:rRNA from 1 species